GACGAACGCUGGCGGCGUGCUUAACACAUGCAAGUCGAACGCUGAAGCUCAGCUUUUGUUGGGUGGAUGAGUGGCGAACGGGUGAGUAACACGUGAGUAACCUGCCUCCUUCUUUGGGAUAACGCCCGGAAACGGGUGCUAAUACUGGAUAUUCACUGGCCUUCGCAUGGGGGUUGGUGGAAAGGGUUUUUCUGGUGGGGGAUGGGCUCGCGGCCUAUCAGCUUGUUGGUGGGGUGAUGGCCUACCAAGGCUUUGACGGGUAGCCGGCCUGAGAGGGUGACCGGUCACAUUGGGACUGAGAUACGGCCCAGACUCCUACGGGAGGCAGCAGUGGGGAAUAUUGCACAAUGGGCGCAAGCCUGAUGCAGCGACGCCGCGUGAGGGAUGGAGGCCUUCGGGUUGUGAACCUCUUUCGCUCAUGGUCAAGCCGCAACAAUGGUUGUGGUGAGGGUAGUGGGUAAAGAAGCGCCGGCUAACUACGUG
rnacentral:rRNA from 1 species